rnacentral:misc_RNA from 1 species
UUUUUUUACUUAGAUAAUUACCAUAUCUAUCUAUAAAAAUAAUAAUCAAUUUAAUCGAAUUGAAUAGGGUCGAGAUUUCAACAAUUCAUUUCCCAUUUGGUAAGUGAACUCAAUGGGAUACAACUGAACAAAAAAAUAGCCCAUAAGCUUAGGAAUUUACUAAGAACAAAGCUUUACAUUGCUCCACUGUAUCUUCAGGGCUGGUAACUGUGUGACCCACAGUUCGUUCUGAUUCAUAUAUUUCAUGAUCAUUUCCUCCCUUGUAAGUUUUGUCCCCAAAGAAGUGGAUUUCAUCAAACUCAUCAAGGUAUCUCAAGCAGUAUGUCUUGUCCCAACCUUGAGGAAAAACAUCAAAACUUAUCUGUCCACCUAUUGAGAUUGUCAGGUUAAGGUGCGCGAACUUCUCACGCAGCACAGACACCAUUUUUGGGCGUAUGUUAUGGACCUUGUC